UUGCGCAAUGGGCGAAAGCCUGACGCAGCCACGCCGCGUGAGCGAUGAAGGCCUUCGGGUCGUAAAGCUCUGUGGGGAGAGAAGAAUAAAGCCUGUGAAGAAUGGGCCUUGACGGUAUCUCCUUAGCAAGCACCGGCUAACUCCGUGCCAGCAGCCGCGGUAAUACGGAGGGUGCAAACGUUGCUCGGAAUCAUUGGGCGUAAAGCGCACGUAGGCGGCGAAGCAAGUCGGGUGUGAAAGCCCUGGGCUCAACCCAGGAAGUGCAUUCGAAACUAUUUCGCUUGAAUCUCGGAGGGGGUCAGAGAAUUCCCGGUGUAGAGGUGAAAUUCGUAGAUAUCGGGAGGAAUACCAGUGGCGAAGGCGCUGACCUGGACGAAGAUUGACGCUGAGGUGCGAAAGCGCGGGGAGCAAACAGGAUUAGAUACCCUGGUAGUCCGCGCUGUAAACGAUGAGUGCUAGACGGUGGAGGUAUUGACCCCUUCGCUGCCGAAGCUAACGCGUUAAGCACUCCGCCUGGG
rnacentral:rRNA from 1 species